rnacentral:misc_RNA from 1 species
UAUGGAAAAAAAGAAUGAUAGGAUCCUGGAUCUACUGCAAGAGUGCUUCGGUGAAGGGUUGAUCACCAUCAACCAGAUGACAAAAGGAUUCUCUAGGGUGAGAGAGGGGCUUGAUGAUAUUGCUCUUGACAUCCCAUGUGCUGCUGGUAAGUUCAGCUUAUAUAUAGAGCAUGCAAAGGAGCAUGGUUGGCUCUCACCGUCUUUCUCAGCUGCUGCACUGCCAGGGGCUGAAGCCAUUUAG